rnacentral:snRNA from 1 species
AUGCCUUAAACUAAUGAGUAAGGAAAAUAACGAGCCUUGGUGACGCUUGGCUCCCAGGUUCUAAUCCUGGAAGAAUUUCUCUUCGGGUAAAGGUCGCCCUCUGGUGCCGAACCUACUUUGUUCCGUGCCUCUGUUGCGUGAUCUGCCCU